AGCAGCCGCGGUAAUUCCAGCUCCAAUAGCGUAUAUUAAAGUUGUUGCAGUUAAAAAGCUCGUAGUUGAAUUUCGGGAUCAAUAUGUUGGUCGUGCCUCGGUACGUACUAGCAUAGUGGUUUCUCCUUUCUGAAGAACCAUGAUGUCAUUUAUUUGGUGUCGUGGGGAAUCAGGACUGUUACUUUGAAAAAAUUAGAGUGUUUAAAGCAGGCUCACGCUUGAAUACAUUAGCAUGGAAUAAUGAAAUAGGACGUUUGAUUCUAUUUUGUUGGUUUCUAGGAUCGACGUAAUGAUUAAUAGGGAUAGUUGGGGGCAUUAGUAUUCAAUUGUCAGAGGUGAAAUUCUUGGAUUUAUUGAAGACUAACUACUGCGAAAGCAUUUGCCAAGGAUGUCUUCAUUAAUCAAGAACGAAAGUUAGGGGAUCGAAGACGAUCAGAUACCGUCGUAGUCUUAACCAUAAAACUAUGCCGACUAGGGAUCGGAUGAUGUU
rnacentral:misc_RNA from 1 species